rnacentral:tRNA from 1 species
GGAGAAAUGGCAGAGUGGUCUAUUGCGCACGUUUGGAAGGCGUGUUAAUCUAAUGGUUUCGUGGGUUCGAAUCCCACUUUCGCAU